CUGUUCCUCCCCGCCCUGGUGCUGCUCCAGGUCACAUACUCUUCCUGAGCCGGCUUCAGCCUCUCCGCGCAGAAGUCUCCCGGAGCCAUGGCCUAGUAUUCUUAUGUGAAGUCUACCAAGCUUGUGCUCAAGGGAACCGAGGUGAAGAGCUGGGUCCUGCAGCUCCGGCGGGAGCCUCCUCAGUUCUUUUCGGACGCACUCCACCCCCGCGAAUCCGGUGGAAGCCGUGAUGCGGAGAGCCGGCUUCGUGGCCUCCCAGGCUUCGCUCUGACCCUGUCUGGGCUGGAUGGAGGCCGGACCGCCCUUCCUGGCGCCUGUGCAGAGAGGGGCAGCCUCCUGCGCGGACGACCCUGGAAACAGGAUAGACGGGCGGGUGACCCGUGACCCCGUACCCACGAGUUUGGGUCCCUUGAGGCAUCUCUCCAGGCCUCUGCCUGUAAGAAGAAAAAGAGCAAAGAUAAGAAGAGAAAAAGAGAAGAUGAAGAAACCCAGCUUGAUAUGUUGAGGAACGCAGCUGCUCACCAGCAACGGAACAAAGCUGGACGGAGAAUGACUUUGAAGAGCUGAGAGAAGGCUUCAGACGAUCAAAUUACUCUGAGCUACGGGAGGACAUUCAAACCAAAGGCAAAGAAGUUGAAAACUUUGAAAAAAAUAAAUGUACAUUAAUUAACGUGGAAUCUGGUGAACAGUAACAAACUUUGGUGAAAUUUCAGGAACCAUAGCCAUUGAAGUGGAUGAGGGAACCUAUAUACAUGCACUCAACAAUGGUCUUUUUACCCUGGGAGCUCCACACAAAGAAGAAUCGCCCUGAAACCUGGCUAUGGAAAAUAUCUUAGUAUAAAUUCAGAUGAACUUGUUGUUGGCGUUCAGAUGCAAUUGGACCAAGAGAACAAUGGGAACCAGUCUUUCAAAAUCAAGAGGUCAGAAAUGGUGGGCCAGCUGAGAUGGGAGAAGAAAAGAGAAAUGGCACAAAGUGGAGAGAAGACACCGACCAUACCUCCUUUCCUCUCUUUCCCACCACAGGUGGACAGCCCAAAGCACACUCCAACUGGAGGAAGGUUUGCCAUUAAAGAUAAGGUGGAGUUUUGAUUAUUA
rnacentral:lncRNA from 1 species